AUCGACUCAAAGCUCCCCCAACCCCCCAACUCCCAAUGCCCCCUGUGCAUAACUAACUUAGUGUGACUUCUAAUGCUGUCAAUUUUUGCUGCUAGAUUUAUUAUGUUACUCAUACCAUUAUUGUUCCAGCUGCUUACUUUCAAUGAAAUAUCAUACAAUGAUUGAUUGCCUGUGUUUUAUAAUGGUGCUUAUAAUGUAAUAUAUUAUUUGUAUAUAUUGUAUCUAUAAAAUAUUUAUAUAUUUUCUCAUAACUAAAUUAGUGUGACUUCUAAUGCUGUCAAUUUCAGGUGCUACAUUUAUUAUGUUUCUCAUACCAUUAUUGUUCCAGCUGCUUACUUUCAAUGAAAUCUUAUACAAUGAUUGAUUGCCUGUGUUUUAUGAUGGUGCUUAUAAUGUAAUAUAUUAUUUGUAUAUAUUGUAUCUAUAAAAUAUUUAUAUAUUUUCUCAUAACUAAAUUAGUGUGACUUCUAAUGCUGUCAAUUUCAGGUGCUACAUUUAUUAUGUUUCUCAUACCAUUAUUGUUCCAGCUGCUUACUUUCAAGGAAAUCUAAUACAAUGAUUGAUUGCCUGUGUUUUAUGAUGGUGCUUAUAAUGUAAUAUAUUAUUUGUAUAUAUUGUAUCUAUAAAAUAUUUGUAUAUUUUCUCAUAACUAAAUUAGUGUGACUUCUAAUGCUGUCAAUUUCAGGUGCUACAUUUAUUAUGUUUCUCAUACCAUUAUUGCUCCAGCUGCUUACUUUCAAUGAAAUCUUAUACAAUGAUUGAUUGCCUACGUUUUAUAACUGUGUAAUAGGAGCGACAAACAUUUUGAAAUACGAUGCAAAGGAAUAUGAGAAAUACAUCUCAAUAUAAUGUUUGCUCAACAAAAACUAAAAUCAACACCGAAAAAGUUAUUCUAUAAUUUUUUCUUUGUGAUACAAUCAAAAUGUUCGCAAAAUAACUAUUUUCUAUUUAUGUUGCAGAUGGUGUAAUAGGAACUACAAACAUUUGAAAUACGAUGCAAAGGAAUAUGAGAAAUACAUCUCAAUAUAAUGUUUGCUCAACAAAAACUAAAAUCAACACCGAAAAAGUUAUUCUAUAAUUUUUUCUUUGUGAUACAAUCAAAAUGUUCGCAAAAUAACUAUUUUCUAUUUAUGUUGCAGAUGGUGUAAUAGGAACUACAAACAUUUGAAAUACGAUGACAAGGAAUAUGAGAAAUAUAUCUCAAUAUAAUGUUUGCUCAACAAAAACUAAAAUCAACACCGAAAAAGUUAUUCUAUAAAUUUUUCUUUGUGAUACAAUCAAAAUGUUCGCAAAAUAACUAUUUUCUAUUUAUGUUGCAGAUGGUGUAAUAGGAACUACAAACAUUUGAGAUACGAUGACAAGGAAUAUGAAAAAUGACAUCCCAAUUUAAUGUUUGCUCAACAAAAACUAAAAUCAACACCGAAAACGUUAUUCUAUAAAUUUUUCUUUGUGGUACAAUUAAAAUGUUCGCAAAAUAACUAUUUUCCAUUUAUGUUGCAGAUGGUGUAAUAGAAGCUACAAACAUUUUGAAAUACGAUGACAAAGAAUAAGAAAAAGAAGCUAAUAUAUAUAUAAAUAUAAUAUAUUUAUAUAUAUCAUAUAUAUAAAUAUAUAUGAAUAUAAGCUAACUUAUAUGCCCAUAUGCUUAUCAACACCGAGUGAUAAUCAAACCAAUAUUAACCUUUCCUCAAUGAUUCGAUUGUAACUGAUAUUUUUUUAAUUUAAUUAUACUUUUUUCUGUUGCAGAUGGUGUUAAAAAACAAAUUUUACAUCUGAUUCGAAAUUCUUAGAUUUCUCCCAAUACUUGGAAAGCACACCCGUCUCAUUUCUCUUGUGAACAUCAACAGGCUAGAUCAACUCUACUGGUGUCAAAAGUGCAUGGAACAAACAUAGCAGAAAGAGCUACAGUGAGUCGGGUGGCGCCGAUGAUACCCCUGCCAUUGAGCAGAUAAUACAGCGUUAGCUGGGGGACUCAUAGCCUUAGCAUGUUCUCCAUGUGUUUAAUUUUAGUAUUUGAGCUUCAAGACUCCUGGUACGACACAGAUAAGUGCCUAUAGGCCCAAUUCACAUCGAAAUGACGUGGCUUUGGAGUGGCGCUGACUUUUUAACAUACAAACAUAAAUGGUUGAAUGCAAACAGAAGUGGCUUGGCGAAAUGCCAAUCCAGUGUGCAUUGGACCAUAGGCCUAUAAUUAUGGAGUGCCAAAAUGUCAGUGACAUACCACCACCACGUCACUGUUCAGCUGUUCUUGUUUAUGUUGUAUGCUUGUAAAUAAAUUCAAUUCUAUUAAU
rnacentral:lncRNA from 1 species